UACAGAGGUGGCAAGCGUUGUUCGGAAUUACUGGGCGUAAAGGGCGCGUAGGCGGUUCGAUAAGUCCCGUGUGAAAUCCCUCGGCUCAACUGAGGAACUGCACGGGAAACUGACGGGGCUUGAGUUCGGGAGAGGGAAGCGGAAUUCCGGGUGUAGCGGUGAAAUGCGUAGAUAUCUGGAGGAAUACCGGUGGCGAAGGCGGCAUCCUGGACCGGCAUGACGCUGAGGAGCGAAAGCUAGGGGAGCAAACGGG
rnacentral:rRNA from 1 species